AUACGGAGGAUCCGAGCGUUAUCCGGAUUUAUUGGGUUUAAAGGGUGCGCAGGCGGCCAUUUAAGUCAGCGGUUAAAUCGUGGGGCUCAACCCCAUUCUGCCGUUGAUACUGGGUGGCUUGAUUGCGGUCGAGGUUGGCGGAAUUCGUUGUGUAGCGGUGAAAUGCAUAGAUAUGACGAAGAACACCGAUUGCGUAGGCAGCUGACCAGAUCGCAAAUGACGCUCAUGCACGAAAGUGCGGGGAUCGAACAGGAUUAGAUACCCUGGUAGUCCGCACAGUAAAUGAUGAAUACUUGUUUUCGGCGAUAUAAUGUCGGAGGCAAAGCGAAAGCGAUAAGUAUUCCACCUGGGGAGUACGCCGGCAACGGUGAAACUCAAAUGAAUUGACGGGG
rnacentral:rRNA from 1 species